rnacentral:rRNA from 1 species
UACGAAGGGGGCUAGCGUUGUUCGGAAUUACUGGGCGUAAAGCGUGCGCAGGCGGCUUCUCAAGUCAGGGGUGAAAGCCCAGAGCUCAACUCUGGAAUUGCCUUUGAGACUGAGUGGCUUGAGUACGAGAGAGGUGAGUGGAAUUCCCAGUGUAGAGGUGAAAUUCGUAGAUAUUGGGAAGAACACCGGUGGCGAAGGCGGCUCACUGGCUCGUAACUGACGCUGAGGAGCGAAAGCAUGGGGAGCGAACAGG